AUUGAACGCUGGCGGCAGGCCUAACACAUGCAAGUCGAGCGGAUGAAGGGAGCUUGCUCCUGGAUUCAGCGGCGGACGGGUGAGUAAUGCCUAGGAAUCUGCCUGGUAGUGGGGGAUAACGUCCGGAAACGGGCGCUAAUACCGCAUACGUCCUGAGGGAGAAAGUGGGGGAUCUUCGGACCUCACGCUAUCAGAUGAGCCUAGGUCGGAUUAGCUAGUUGGUGGGGUAAAGGCCUACCAAGGCGACGAUCCGUAACUGGUCUGAGAGGAUGAUCAGUCACACUGGAGCUGAGACACGGUCCAGACUCCUACGGGAGGCAGCAGUGGGUACUAUUGGACACUGGGCGAAAGCCUGAUCCAGCCGUGCCGCGUGUGUGAAGAAGGUCUUCGGAUUGUAAAGCACUUUAAGUUGGGAGGAAGGGCAGUAAGUUAAUACCUUGCUGUUUUGACGUUACCAACAGAAUAAGCACCGGCUAACUUCGU
rnacentral:rRNA from 1 species